rnacentral:lncRNA from 1 species
UGGGCUGUGACUCAAAAGACAACAGCUCUGGGUUGUGACUCGGAAGGCAAACAUCUUUGGGCUAUGACUAGGAAGGGAAACAGCUCUGAGCUAUAACUCCAAAGGGAAACAUCUCUGGGCAGUGACUCAGAAGGGAAACAUCUCCAGAGAGUGACUCUGAAGGGGAACAACCACAGACAGGUAAACAGAGGUGGGCAGUGACUCAGAAGGGAAACAGAGCUGGGCAGUGACUCAGAAGGGAAACAGAGCUGGACAGUGACUCAGAAGGGAGACAGCUCCGGGAAGUGACUCGCAAGGGAAAAAGCUCCAGGUAGUGACUCAAAAGGGAAAUAGCUCAGGGCAGUGACUCAAAACAGAAACAGCUCCAGGCAGUGACUUGAAGGCAAAGCAGCUCUGGGCUCUGGGUUGU